GAUGAACGCUGGCGGCGUGCCUAAUACAUGCAAGUCGAGCGAACGGACGAGAAGCUUGCUUUUCUGAUGUUAGCGGCGGACGGGUGAGUAACACGUGGAUAACCUACUUAUAAGACUGGGAUAACUUCGUGAAACCGGAGCUAAUACCGGAUAAUAUUUUGAACCGCAUGGUUCAAAAGUGAAAGACGGUUUUGCUGUCACUUAUAGAUGGAUCCGCGCUGCAUUAGCUAGUUGGUAAGGUAACGGCUUACCAAGGCAACGAUGCAUAGCCGACCUGAGAGGGUGAUCGGCCACACUGGAACUGAGACACGGUCCAGACUCCUACGGGAGGCAGCAGUGGGGAAUCUUCGACAAUGGGCGAAAGCCUGACGGAGCAACGCCGCGUGAGUGAUGAAGGUCUUCGGAUCGUAAAACUCUGUUAUUAGGGAAGAACAUAUGUGUAAGUAACUGUGCACAUCUUGACGGUACCUAAAGAGAAAGCCACGGCUAACUACGUG
rnacentral:rRNA from 1 species